CUCUGCUUGGAGUUUUUUCUGUGAGCCUAGUUCAUGGGUGAAUUCUGUCUAGUUUCUCCAGGGGGUGAUAACAGCAAGGCUCCUUCCCUCUGGAAGCAUAUACAGUUUUGCUGGAGUAAUAAAAACACUGAAGAGGAGAACCAGCAGCAGGCGCAGGACUGACUUUGAUUUCAUUUUUUUACUUCUGUGGAAAGCAAAGCAGUAAAAUCUUUCUCAAGAGCCCUGCGUCUGGGUAUCCUGCUGCUGCCUUCAGCCUCAUCUCCUGAGCAGCAGAAGUGGUGGCUUCGCAGCCUUUUCAAGUUGUUCAGAUUCUGUUUCCAGUGUGCAAUGUUAUUUAGAAGCGUGAAGACAGCUCUGAGAAAAGAAACAGUUUUGCAUCAACAUGGGGCACAGCUCAUAUUCUCUUUUACAUGAGCUUGUAACUAGCUCUAUUUUACCUGAUGUAAAUGUAAAUAGAUUUUCCUCCUUGUUCCCGUGAUGAAGUAUCUUCAAGCUGUGCUACUGAACGGUCAGGAAACACAGAAUGAAUGUGUUAGGAGCUUGAAGAAGAAGGAAAAGUUGCAAAAUAUGAAAAGAAAGGUUCCCCUAUGGACAGAAAGGAAAGUGCUGUAGGAUGGAUGCAUGCAAUACAUACCUGUAAUCAGUUUCUAAAACACAGUAUCUUUACUGGAAAUGUUAGAGGGAAAAUAACCCAUUCCUGGGAAAUGAAACCAAACUCAUGUCAAAGCAGAUGUUCUGAAGCAUGUAGUUGAGCACACUUAGGACAGCAAGGGUGUUGCACAGGAGGCUGCCAUCAGUCUGUAAAUGGUGUGUUUCUCUAGAGGAAUAUUCCACUGUUCCAAGCCAGCUAGUAUUUUCCUGUGCUGAUUUCUGCAUGUAGCAUUCUGUUGUUUCAUUGCAGUUUUCUGUUAAAAACAGUUGGGCUCAUAACCCUUCCUCAGGGGAAUGUUGUUAUCCACUUGGUGUAUUCCUUUGGAAAGAGGGAAAGAAAUGCAGAAUUUGGAUUGUUAUCGUUGGCCAGAUUGCCUUCAGAGCUGAUUUGGGAUAUCACUGGGAAUACUUCCAGAGAAAACCAGUAUUCUGCUGUAUUCCAUAGGUACUCUCUAUAAUUUUAUCUCCUCAGCACAGUGUGGCUCUGUGAUCUUUGAAACAAUACUGGAAAUUAAA